GGGGUUUCAGCGAUGGCGAAUCGCUGGUAUUUCCGCGCUCCGCACCCUCAUCGCCUGGAUCGUACCCAGGAGGUCGCCGGUUCGAGUCCGGCUAGCUCCA
rnacentral:tRNA from 1 species